ensembl:lncRNA novel transcript
GGGCGGCUUGCAAGGCGGUGAGCUCCCCGCCACUGGAAGCUGGAAGCUACAGGGAAGCUUCCGCGGAGGACUGGCGAUGGCUUCUUUGCUCCAACAGCUGCUCCUUGUGCCAGGCUCAGGCUGAGUUACAGCUAGAGGUGCAGUGGCUACAAGAGUUUCUGCUCACGGUCAUGGAAGAGAAAGAAAAUGAACAAGCACCCCAGCCUGAAACUCACCCCUUGACAAGCACCCUGCAAGCUACAGUGAUUCUGAAUCCCAGAAGUGAUGGGCUGUCUUGGAGAAUCCCAGGGGCUGUCCUGUGCUCCAGGCCUGUCUCAGGACUCCUUGGGUGGACGCAAUCUCCUCUAGUCCCCUCUAAAGACUUCUUCAUCAUUACGAUGGAAAACAUUGGCUGUGACGUGGGUUGUGCAAUGAAGCUUCCAACCCAGGAUCUGUUUCUGAAUGGCUGUCAUGGAGCAGAGAGCAGAGGCUCUGCAUGGCCCCAACACUUGUCCCUCCUCCAAGCUCCGACAUUAAGAAACAUGCCUGCUUCCUCGUGGAGGAGGGAAGCCUGGUCUAAGGAUGAAGGGCAAGCUGCCAGGCACCCGAGGCUCCUUCAUGCUUGCAGCUCAAGCCUCCAGGGGCCAAAGAGAAGUCCUCAGGAGGCUGUUGGUGCAGUCCACUUAGAGCAAAGCACAUGGCCGCUGGAGGAUGGGGGCACAGAGCUGGCAAGAGUGAUCCACAUGAACCUGGACAGGACCUUAACAGUGUCUGCUGAGGCCCUUGCCCCAGCUGGCCCUGAAGUCGAAGUCUGGUUUGCUCUGUUUUGUUGGUCUGUGCAGUGGAGAGGAAGGUGCCACCCCAGCUCUAGUUCUCCACGUCACUUAAGAGGUAUGGGAUUUCAGCAAGGACUGAACAAUGCUGGGCCUCAGCUUUCUCCUUCAUCCUGUGAAGACCUUCAAUCUUAUCUACCUUGGGGGAUGAUACUGUGGUUAUCAAAUGUCAGAGGACCUUGAAGGAUGGAAAACACGUGUAUGUGACUCAUCAGGCUGUGCCAUUGCAAGGUGAUGCUGAUGUCAGGAUAUUUUUGUCUGCAGGAGAAUCCACUACUGUAUGGAGCUUGUCCUGGAAAGCCAUUGCACCCCACCCCACCACCCCCACCAUCUCUCAGAAGAGGUCACAAAGAGCAUUUUGUUACAACAUAACCUUACUCAAGAAAUCACUCAAAAAAUGCACAUAGGAACCACUGAAACAUUUCCUGAAUUUAAAAGAAUGACUCAGCAGAGCAUUCGUUUGUGAUAGAACUGCUUCUUGAAUUUCUCAAAACUGGUGAUGUUCACAAAGGCCAAAAUGUGUGAGCAUUCUGCCAAAACCAGGCCAAAGUUUGCUGCUGUGCUUUGUAUUUAAAAAGAAUAAGAAAAUGUAUAGUUCAAAAAAUAAAAUUCUAAGCCCACCAACUGACUAAACAGAUCCCCUCUUGGCCAAGGGGACCCCAGAGUAAUCAGGAACAUUGAGUUCUCGGCCAUGAUGGGAUGGGGAGCAUCAGACAAGUCUCGUUAUUCCCUUCCCUUGCUAACCACCACUAGGCUUUCUUUCCUAAGGGCUAAACACAAACCUACCCUUCCAACACAGUCCACUGCUGUGAUCAACCCACUGCUUGACGCUGCUCCUCGUUUUUGCCUGAUAAGAGACCACUGACCAUGGGGUGGCUCUGCCUAGUCCACGGAGGAUGCACAGUGAGGGUUUUGGUGUCCUCUGCUUUACCUUUUGACAUCAGAGGGCCAAAAGUUCUACCCUUGGGUCAUGCUAAAACCACCAUUUUUGGUACAGGGGGCCCAUGAAGGGGCAUGCAGCUCACUUGUGCAUGUGCAUGUUUCACCUCUCAUAAAUAUUCAUGACUCCUCCUGCAGCUUAUUGAAUAUGUAUAUUCAGCCAUCCAACUCAGCACAAAUUCCUGUUCCCUUUGCCCCUCCCUGAAAGUGUCUGUUUCUGGCUUCUCAUCAGAGGCUACGCUUCCCAGCCGGUCAGAGUGGCCACCCUGCAGGGUGCAACCCUUUAUGAAAAACAAAGUUCUUCUUUCCAAAAGGAAAAAAUAAAGAAAGAAAAUUUGUAGUUUAACAAAGACAAUUAGAUAAAGUUAACCCACUGGAGAUCCCCGUCCUGCAGGCCUUGGUGCUGAUUGAUCUCCUGCCCAGGACAUGGCCACACGGGGGCUAGUGGGUUGGUGACCUGAGGAGCACUCCUGAGUGACCUCGGAGUUCAGGGCUGCCUCCAAGAAUGGCUGGUGCAUAAAGACUACUCAGACCAAAGCUGAGCACUCCAAAGUAUGAAUAAUGAAGGACAUUUGCUGGCUCAGUGGUGAGAACCUGGGGUGUUUAGGCUGUCACUGCCAAUAGUCCACUAUUGGCUGGGAUCAGAAGAGCAGAAGGCCACCAUUUUACUGAUGGGACCAAGUGAAUCCCAGGGUCUGGUGCAACCUGGAGUGGAAGGUGCAGAGAUGGGCAGCAGGUCCCCCCGAUGCAACCCUUCUGCAUGUUGACAACAAUAUAAAAAGGGAAUACCUGCAUUUCUAUUUUGCUCUUCAGAUUGGAGACCUGGUUGUAUUACACUGCAGAUUUACUCUAGCCAGUCCUCAGAUAUUGCCUACUACUUAAAGUGAAUUGUUACCAAAAUGUUCAGAGAAAACCUUAGAUUAAGCGUAUUGACUAUGUUUCUUCUUUAAGUCAUAGUUAAGGGCAAUAACAACAACAGAGCAGCUGAGUAGAUAUUUUCUGCUCAUCAUUAAUAAUAACCCUUCGGCUGAUGGAUGGAUGGCCCUCCCGGUGAUGAAGAGCUGGCAGCACUCACUCUGUGGCGGGAUCUGUUCCUGGGAGGGCCUGUAAGAUAUUUGAUUUGAGAGAUGCCUGGCUGCUGAUGGAUUAGGAGGGCCUGGUAGAAACACAGUGGCAUGAACACCAGGACCAUAAAAAGAGAAGAAGAGUACAAUUAUCUUGUAUGUUCCCUUCCUUCUCUCACUCCCGGUAGAACCAGAGAAGGGCAAGCCGAGAAGCAUGGAGGUCAUUCCACCAGCCUGUGGACUCCUGGCCCAUCCAGUCACUAAAGCUAUGGAGGAGAAGGCAGAGAGACAUGGACCUGGGGGAAAGAGGAGGCUCCCUGUACCUAUCAGCUGUAGGGAAGAAGACUCUGCUCCACACAGUCACUUGGGAUUGAAGCUGAUGGAGGCUCCACCAUCUCAUAGCUACUUCAUCUGGAACCAGCAGCCUCCUCAGCAGAAGGAGGGAGCAGGAAGGGUGUCCAGGGUGUUUUCACUCGAUCAACCCGGAAUGAGAGGUAGCACUUUGCUCACAUUUCACUGGCCAGAAUUAGGAAUGUGACCUCAUCUAACUGCAAGGGAACUGGGAAGCAAUGUGCCCAGAACGAGUGGUCUGCACACAUUGCCCUGCUUCCUUACCUUUCAUUCAAUCUUCAAUUGCCCAGUCUAGGCUGUUCCCCACCACUUAUACCAGCACAGCCUCCUGUUUCCAAACCCAGUGGUCAUUCUCAUGUUUCCCAAUCUAUGGGCAGCACUAACCCCAGCUACUGCCCCCACCUCGAUCUAGCCUGGCCUCAGCUUCUGCAAUACCUCAUUCUGCUGGGCUUCCUUCCCUCUCUCUCUGCUCUGUGAGUUUCUCCUCACCCAACCUUCUCUAAAUGUUGGUGUCUUCUCAGAACAGAUCUUGGCCCUAUUGUUUUUUCUCUGUAUAUUCUCUUGCUAAAUAAUUACAUCAGUUCCAUAGCUUUAAAUGGCAUCUAUUUGCCAAUACAUCUUAAACACAGAUCGCAGGGCAGAGUUCUAUCCCUAGGAGACUCACACUUUUCUUCUCCACUGCUUGCUUGAGAGCCCACAGUGCAUCAUAUAAGGAACUUGAGUCUCCCACACUUGAGUCAAUCACGGCUUCUUGUCGUAAUUGGAAAUCUAGGAGUGGCACAUCCUUGACAGCUCCCUUUUGCUCAGCCCUGAAUAUAAACCAUCCAUAUGUCCUGUAGAUUUAACCUCCAAAAUACAUCAAAGGAGGUCUGGAAUCAACAAACCUCAGGCUGUCUCCACUGCCACUCGCUCAGUGCCAAUCUUGUCCUGGGCGGCACUCGGGGUUCCCCCACUCGCUCCUUGUCAAGUCAUUCUCCCAGCAGCACCAGAUUUGUCUAUAAAAUGCAAACCAAAUCAUGGUACUUCCUGCUUCAGUCCCUGAGCUGGCUUCUCACUCCUCGGGAAUCAAGUUCAAGUUCCCCUCCAUGGCCCACAUGACCAUGCAACCCAGGCCCUCCUCGGCCUCAUACAUGCUACCCUCCCCUCCACAGUGUGUUCCAGCCACACAGAGCUCCUUGUCCUGCUCUGCACCACUUGCCCCCUUUCCACACCGAGGCCUUGUCACACUCAGUGCUGUAUCGUUCACUAAAACGUCACCGCCUUGAUGAGCUGGAUGCACAGAGGCAUUGAGGAGAAGUGCAUCUGGCAUCUCCCCAAAACAAAAGACAUCACUGUAUCAAAAGAAUACCUGCCCUCAUAUGUUCUUCCCAGCACCAUUCACAAUAGCAAAGGCAUGAAAUCAGCCCGGGUGUCCACCAACCGAAGACGGGACGAAGAAAAUGUAGUGCAUAUGCACCAAGGAAUACUACUUGGCCAUAAAGAUGAAUGAAAUCAUGUCUUCUGCAGCAAUAAGGAUGGAACUGGAGGCCAUUCUCCUACGUGAAAUAACUCAGACACAAAAAGAUAAAUACCACACGUUCUCACUUAACAGUGGGAGCUAAAUAAUGUGUACACAUGGAUGUAGAGUGUGGAAUGAUAGACUCUGGAGACACCCAAGGGUGGGGAGGAUGGAGGGGGUGAGGCAGGAGAAGUUACUUCAUGGGUACCACAUACGUUAGUCCAGCAAUGGCUACACUAAAGGCUCAGAUGACACCACUACGUAUUAUAUCCAUGUAACAAAAUUACACUUGUGCCUCAUAAAUGUAUACAAGUUUGAAUAAAGGACAACUGUGAGUGUCUUCUGCACA